GAUGAACGCUAGCGGCAGGCUUAACACAUGCAAGUCGAGGGGUAUAGUUCUUCGGAAUUAGAGACCGGCGCACGGGUGCGUAACGCGUAUGCAAUCUACCUUUUGCAGAGGGAUAGCCCAGAGAAAUUUGGAUUAAUACCUCAUAGUAUAAUGACUCGGCAUCGAGAUAUUAUUAAAGUCACAACGGCAAAAGAUGAGCAUGCGUCCCAUUAGCUAGUUGGUAAGGUAACGGCUUACCAAGGCGACGAUGGGUAGGGGUCCUGAGAGGGAGAUCCCCCACACUGGUACUGAGACACGGACCAGACUCCUACGGGAGGCAGCAGUGAGGAAUAUUGGACAAUGGGCGCAAGCCUGAUCCAGCCAUGCCGCGUGCAGGAUGACGGUCCUAUGGAUUGUAAACUGCUUUUAUACGAGAAGAAACAACUCUACGUGUAGAGUCUUGACGGUAUCGUAAGAAUAAGGAUCGGCUAACUCCGUG
rnacentral:rRNA from 1 species